AGUUGUGUCAUGCCCCCUGACUAUGAUAACUCUGUAGGCAUUACUUCGAACACGAAAAAGAAUUGAACAACACAUGAAAGCCCUUCUACAAGUGAUUAGCCUGGUCGUGAUUAGCGUGGUGGUGGUUAUUAACCUACCGUGCGGGGCAACGCUUGGAGAAAGAAAGGCUUAAAAAUCAAGCCUCGAAUCCGAAAAACCCCCGCACCGAAAGGUCCGGGGGUUUUUUUUCGACCCGAGGAAAUAUCAGUAAAUCCACAAGGAACAAACAAUGAACAGUAGCAUAAAAUUCUGUUGUUCCGGUCAGGA
rfam:Pantoea vagans C9-1, complete genome.